rnacentral:tRNA from 1 species
GGUUCCGUAGUGUAGUGGUUAUCACGUUUGCUUUACACGCAAAAGGUCCCCAGUUCGAUCCUGGGCGGAACCA